rnacentral:rRNA from 1 species
CCAACAGGGUUGCCUCAGUAACGGCGAGUGAAGCGGCAACAGCCCAGAUUUGAAAUCUGACCUCUUUGGGGUCCGAGUUGUAAUCUGCAGAUGGGUUUUCCGGUGAGGCGUGCGUCCAAGUUCCCUGGAAUGGGAUGCCGGAGAGGGUGAGAGCCCCGUAAAGGCGCGCGCCGAGCCUCUGUGAGGCCCAUUCGACGAGUCGAGUAGUUUGGAAAUGCUGCUCUAAUCGUGGGGUAAAUCUCCCAUAAGGCUAAAUAUCGGCCGGAGACCGAUAGCGCACAAGUAGCGUGAGCGAAAGAUGAAAAGAGCCUUGGAUAAGGCCGUCAAAAAGCAUGUGAAAUUGUUGUGGGGGAAGCGCUCGUCGCCAGACGUGGCGGCGGCUGAUUUACCGGCGUCCUCGCCGGUGUCCUCUGCCCGCCGCCAGGCCAGCACCGGCUCGGACCGGGGCCCAAAACGCACGGGAACGUGGCUCCCCUCGGGGAGUGUUAUAGCCCGCGCCUACGCCCUGUUCCGGGCCGAGGAACGCGCAUCUGCUCGGAUGCUUGGCCUAAUGGCGCCUAAGCGACCCGUCCUUGAAACACGGACCAAGGAGGUUGACCUUGACCGCGCCGAUUGUUCGGGUGUCAAGCCCCUACGCGUAGUGAAAGCGAACGCUGGUGGGAGCCCUCACGGGUGCACCAUCGACCGAUCCUGAAGUUUACGGAUGGAUUUGAGUAGGAGCGCGUCGGGUCUGACCCGAAAGAAGGUGAACUAUGCAUGAAUAGGGUGAAGCCAGAGGAAACUCUGGUGGAGGCUCGCAGCGGUUCUGACGUGCAAAUCGAUCGUCAAAUUUGUGCAUGGGGGCGAAAGACCAAUCGAACCUUCUAGUAGCUGGUUCCUGCCGAAGUUUCCU